rnacentral:tRNA from 1 species
GCCGGGUUGGUGGAAUCGGCAUACACACGGUCCUCAAAAGACCGCGCCUCACGGCUUGCGGGUUCGAGUCCCGCACCCGGCA